AUUGUGGUCAGUGUCUUAAGAAUAGGCAGUUUGUUGCCCCUAAACCCUCUGUGCAUUGCAUACCUGAUCUCUUUUCCUUUAUGGACAUUUGAAUUAUGGUGAAGACUCUAGAUGAUUUUGGGUAUUCUGCAUCAAAACGUUGUGAGGCAUGGCUGAAGGUAAAGCGUGAUUAUGUUGAAGGAAUAGGUGACAGUCUUGAUCUUGUUCUUAUUAGUGCUUAGCAUGGAAAUGGAAGAAAAGUUGGAUGGUACAAAUUUUGAGUUUUUUGUUCUGCU